GAGUUUGAUUAUGGCUCAGAUUGAACGCUGGCGGCAUGCUUUACACAUGCAAGUCGAACGGCAGCACGGAAGAGCUUGCUCUUUUGGUGGCGAGUGGCGAACGGGUGAGUAACGCAUCGGAACGUACCGAGUAGUGGGGGAUAACUGUCCGAAAGGAUGGCUAAUACCGCAUAUUCUCUGAGGAGGAAAGCAGGGGACCUUCGGGCCUUGCGCUAUUUGAGCGGCCGAUGUCUGAUUAGCUAGUUGGUGGAGUAAAGGCCUACCAAGGCGACGAUCAGUAGCGGGUCUGAGAGGAUGAUCCGCCACACUGGGACUGAGACACGGCCCAGACUCCUACGGGAGGCAGCAGUGGGGAAUUUUGGACAAUGGGGGGAACCCUGAUCCAGCCAUGCCGCGUGUCUGAAGAAGGCCUUCGGGUUGUAAAGGACUUUUGUCAGGGAAGAAAAGCUUGAGGUUAAUACCC
rnacentral:rRNA from 1 species